AUGAAACUUCAAGUCGGCUGUUCUGUGCUGGUGGCAACACAUGUGCACGUUCAGUCGCAAUCCACACACCUGUGCACUUUGACUCUGAGCACCGCCUGUAACAUGGCAGAAGGUUUGAGAUGAAGGUCUUAACCUGGUACUCGAGUAGUUUACACACUCUGUAUGUAAUAGAAUGUAACUGUACAAUGUACAACUAUAAAC
rnacentral:misc_RNA from 1 species